rnacentral:misc_RNA from 1 species
ACUUUGCCUCUAGCUUCUCCGCUCAGCAGACUAACUAUGACAAGAAGCAAUACAUCAAAGCCUAAAGACAAAAUUCAACAGCUACUUCAUUCUGACCCUUAUGGUGGUUGGGAUAAAUGUUGGGAGAAAGGAGUGACGCCUUGGGAUUUGGGUCAGCCUACUCCAAUUCUUGUUCAUCUUCAUCAAACAGGUACCCUUCCUAAAGGCAGGUCUCUGGUCCCUGGUUGUGGCAGUGGUCAUGAUGUGGUGGCAAUUGCUAGCCCUGAACGCUUUGUUGUUG